rnacentral:rRNA from 1 species
UACGGGGGGGGCAAGCGUUGUUCGGAAUUACUGGGCGUAAAGGGCUCGUAGGCGGCCAACUAAGUCAGACGUGAAAUCCCUCGGCUUAACCGGGGAACUGCGUCUGAUACUGGAUGGCUUGAGGUUGGGAGAGGGAUGCGGAAUUCCAGGUGUAGCGGUGAAAUGCGUAGAUAUCAAGCGGAACACCAGUGGCGAAGGCGAGUCCCUGGACAACUCCUGACACUGAGGCACGAAAGCUAGGGGAGCAAACAGG